rnacentral:tRNA from 1 species
AUCCGUCGAUUUUAAAAAUCAUGAGGGUUCAAGUCCCUCUAUCCCCAAAA